GACGAACGCUGGCGGCGUGCCUAAUACAUGCGAGUCGAGCGGACUUAAAAAGCUUUUUUUUUUAGUUAGCUGCCGACGGGUGAGUAACUCCUGGUCAACCUGCCUGUAAGACUGGGAUAACUUCGUCAAACCGGAGCUAAUACCGGAUAAUCCUUUUCUACUCAGGUAGAAAAGCUGAUAGACGGUGUACUCUGUCACUUUCAGAUGGGCCCGCGCCGCAUUAGCUAGUUGGUGAGGUAACGGCUCACCAAGGCGACGAUGCGUAGCCGACCUGAGAGGGUGAUCGGCCACACUGGAACUGAGACACGGCCCAGACUCCUACGGGAGGCAGCAGUAGGGAAUCUUCCGCAAUGGACGAAAGUCUGACGGAGCAACGCCGCGUGAGUGAUGAAGGUCUUCGGAUCGUAAAACUCUGUUGUUAGGGAAGAACAAGUAUGAGAGUAACUGUUCGUGCCUUGACGGUACCUAAUCAGAAAGCCACGGCUAACUACGUG
rnacentral:rRNA from 1 species